GAUGAACGCUGGCGGCGUGCCUAAUACAUGCAAGUCGAGCGCAGCGGGGGCGGGUGCGUACCACGUGGAUAACCUCCUAUAACACUGCGAUAACUUCGGGAAACCGUAGCUAAACCGGCUACUUAUAUGUGGAUCCGCGCUGCAUUAGCUAGUUGGUAAGGUAACGGCUUACCAAGGCAACGAUGCAUAGCCGACCUGAGAGGGUGAUCGGCCACACUGGAACUGAGACACGGGCCAGACUCCUACGGGAGGCAGCAGUAGGGAAUCUUCCGCAAUGGGCGAAAGCCUGACGGAGCAACGCCGCGUGAGUGAAGAAGGUUUUCGGAUCGUAAAACUCUGUUAUUAGGGAAGCGGUACCUAAUCAGAAAGCCACGGCUAACUACGUGCCAGCCGCCGCGGUAAUAC
rnacentral:rRNA from 1 species